UACGUAGGGGGCAAGCGUUGUCCGGAUUUACUGGGCGUAAAGCGCGUGUAGGCGGCCACGCAGGUCCGUUGUGAAAACUAGAGGCUCAACCUCUAGACGUCGACGGAAACCGUGUGGCUAGAGUCCGGAAGAGGAGAGUGGAAUUCCUGGUGUAGCGGUGAAAUGCGCAGAUAUCAGGAAGAACACCAAUGGCGAAGGCAGCUCGCUGGGACGUUACUGACGCUGAGACGCGAAAGCGUGGGGAGCAAACAGG
rnacentral:rRNA from 1 species